rnacentral:rRNA from 1 species
UCCGUAGGUGAACCUGCGGAAGGAUCAUUACAGUAUUCUUUUUAAGCUGGAUUGAUACUGGUUUCAUCCAACUUGUGGUUUUUUUUACUGCGCUGCUGAAAUAUUGCGUGCGCGGUAGGUACCAUGGGUAGUUUGUUUGCCGGGUCUUUCUAUACCAAAAGCUUGAAAAACCUCCUACACACUUUGUUUUCUUAUUAGAGACAAAUUUGCUUUGGCUAGCUGUUGCGUAAAACCACAGUUUGGCCAAAGGUUUUAUAACAAACUCUUGUUUUUGUUUUUCAACUUGCUUGAAGAAUUAGAAACGUGUUUUAAUAAUACUAGUCAUAAUCAUGAAGACUUUGUAAAGAAGCUUUAACUAAAAUUUAAAACUUUCAACAACGGAUCUCUUGGUUCUCGCAUCGAUGAAGAACGCAGCGAAAUGCGAUAAGUAAUGUGAAUUGCAGAUUUUCGUGAAUCAUUGAAUCUUUGAACGCACAUUGCGCCCUCUGGUAUUCCGGAGGGCAUGCCUGUUUGAGCGUCAUUUCCUUCUCACACCCUGUAGGGUAUGGUGAUGGGUGAUACUUUGAGUAAUCAAAGUUCACUUGAAAUGUAUUGGCAUGAGUUUUUGUUUACUGAAAGCAGUUGUUUAUCAAUGUAUUAGGUUUAUUCCAUUGUUGAAUUAGCAACUGUAGGAAGUGACAAAAUUUUGGCUCUGCCUAACAAACUUUUUUAAUCAUAAAGUUUGACCUCAAAUCAGGUAGGACUACCCGCUGAACUUAAGCAUAUCAAUAAGCGGAGGAAAAGAAACCAACAGGGAUUGCCUUAGUAGCGGCGAGUGAAGCGGCAAGAGCUCAAAUUUGAAAUCUGGUACCUUUGGUGCCCGAGUUGUAAUUUGAAGAAAGCUAUCUUGGAUUUGGCCUUUGUCUAUGUUCCUUGGAACAGGACGUCACAGAGGGUGAGAAUCCCGUGCGAUGAGGUGUCCAUUUCUAUGUAAGAUGUUUUCGAAGAGUCGAGUUGUUUGGGAAUGCAGCUCUAAGUGGGUGGUAAAUUCCAUCUAAAGCUAAAUAUUGGCGAGAGACCGAUAGCGAACAAGUACAGUGAUGGAAAGAUGAAAAGAACUUUGAAAAGAGAGUGAAAAAGUACGUGAAAUUGUUGAAAGGGAAGGGUAUUAGAUCAGACUUGGUAUUUAGUUAUCAUUGCUCCUUGUGGGUGGUGCUCUAGCUUUUUACUGGGCCAGCAUCAGUUUUGGUGGCAAGAUAAUGACAUUUGAACGUGGCUCUUCGGAGUGUUAUAGCUUUUGUUGAUAUUGCCUACUGGGACUGAGGUCUGCGGCUUUGCCUAGGAUGCUGGCGUAAUGAUCCAAUACCGCCC